rnacentral:rRNA from 1 species
GACGAACGCUGGCGGCGUGCCUAAUACAUGCAAGUAGAACGCUGAAGAGAGGAGCUUGCUCUUCUUGGAUGAGUUGCGAACGGGUGAGUAACGCGUAGGUAACCUGCCUUGUAGCGGGGGAUAACUAUUGGAAACGAUAGCUAAUACCGCAUAACAAUGGGUGACUCAUGUCAUUUAUUUGAAAGGGGCAAAUGCUCCACUACAAGAUGGACCUGCGUUGUAUUAGCUAGUAGGUGAGGUAACGGCUCACCUAGGCGACGAUACAUAGCCGACCCGAGAGGGUGAUCGGCCACACUGGGACUGAGACACGGCCCAGACUCCUACGGGAGGCAGCAGUAGGGAAUCUUCGGCAAUGGGGGCAACCCUGACCGAGCAACGCCGCGUGAGUGAAGAAGGUUUUCGGAUCGUAAAGCUCUGUUGUAAGUCAAGAACGAGUGUGAGAGUGGAAAGUUCACACUGUGACGGUAGCUUACCAGAAAGGGACGGCUAACUACGUGCCAGCAGCCGCGGUAAUACGUAGGUCCCGAGCGUUGUCCGGAUUUAUUGGGCGUAAAGCGAGCGCAGGCGGUUUGAUAAGUCUGAAGUUAAAGGCUGUGGCUCAACCAUAGUUCGCUUUGGAAACUGUCAAACUUGAGUGCAGAAGGGGAGAGUGGAAUUCCAUGUGUAGCGGUGAAAUGCGUAGAUAUAUGGAGGAACACCGGUGGCGAAAGCGGCUCUCUGGUCUGUAACUGACGCUGAGGCUCGAAAGCGUGGGGAGCGAACAGG